CUACCCCCGCCUGGGGAUUAAGCAUAUCAAUAAGCGGAGGAAAAGAAACCAACAGGGAUUGCCUCAGUAACGGCGAGUGAAGCGGCAACAGCUCAAAUUUGAAAUCUGGCCUCUUGGGGGGUCCGAGUUGUAAUUUGUAGAGGAUGUUUCGGGUACCGCCUCGGUUUAAAUUUCUUGGAACAGAAUGUCAGAGAGGGUGAGAAUCCCGUCUUGGACCGGCGGUAGGGCCCAUGUGAAACUCCUUCGACGAGUCGAGUUGUUUGGGAAUGCAGCUCAAAAUGGGUGGUAAAUUUCAUCUAAAGCUAAAUAUUGGCCAGAGACCGAUAGCGCACAAGUAGAGUGAUCGAAAGAUGAAAAGAACUUUGAAAAGAGAGUUAAACAGUAUGUGAAAUUGUUGAAAGGGAAGCGCUUGCAACCAGACUUGAGCGCGGCGGUUCCCCCUUCCUUUUGGUUGGGUUACUCCGCCGUGUCCAGGCCAACAUCGGUUCUGGGGGUCGGUUAAAGGCCCGGGGAAUGUAUCUACUCCUCCGGGGGUAGACUUAUAGCCCCGGGUGUCAUGCGACCACCCGGGACCGAGGAACGCGCUUCGGCUCGGAUGUUGGCGUAAUGGUUGUCAGCGACCCGUCUUGAAACACGGACCAAGGAGUCUAACAUCUAUGCGAGUGUUUGGGUGUCAAACCCGGAACGCGGAAUGAAAGUGAACGGAGGUAGGAAGCCUUUAGGCUGCACUAUCGACCGAUCCUGAUGUCUUCGGAUGGAUUUGAGUAAGAGCAUAGCUGUUGGGACCCGAAAGAUGGUGAACUAUGCCUGAAUAGGGUGAAGCCAGAGGAAACUCUGGUGGAGGCUCGCAGCGGUUCUGACGUGCAAAUCGAUCGUCAAAUUUGGGUAUAGGGGCGAAAGACUAAUCGAACCAUCUGGUAGCUGGUUUCCUGCCGAAGUUCCCCUCAGGAA
rnacentral:rRNA from 1 species